rfam:Cricetulus griseus cell line CHO-K1, whole genome shotgun sequence.
AUCUGUGGGAGGAAACUCAGCUGGAGUGACGGGUGGUGUGGACAGCUGCUGUACAGCAUGGGAGGGGUGUAAGCUGAAUGGAACAGAGGACGUGUGUGUGUGUGUGUGUGUGUGUGUGUGUGUGUGUGUGUGUCUACACCCAUGUCCCUCCCCGUGCCUACACCUUGAUUCUGCUUGAUCAGGUAGGUUCUGUGACCCCCACCUCCAGCCCACCAUCCUAAAAAGAAAAGCCAAGCUUCCGUGACUCCCUUUUUUGUGGCACUGCGCUGA